UACGUAGGGGGCUAGCGUUGUCCGGAAUCAUUGGGCGUAAAGCGCGCGUAGGCGGCCCGGUAAGUCCGCUGUGAAAGUCGGGGGCUCAACCCUCGGAUGCCGGUGGAUACUGUCGGGCUUGAGUGCGGAAGAGGCGAGUGGAAUUCCUGGUGUAGCGGUGAAAUGCGCAGAUAUCAGGAGGAACACCAAUUGCGAAGGCAGCUCGCUGGGACGUUACUGACGCUGAGACGCGAAAGCGUGGGGAGCAAACAGG
rnacentral:rRNA from 1 species